UCCCUGGAGCACUAGUGGUUAGGCCACAGCAAUCUCACCGCUGCGGCCUGGGUUCGAUUCCCGGCCAGGGAA
rnacentral:tRNA from 1 species